GAAAUUACCUUCCCCAGAUACCCAGGGAACCCUCUGUAGCUACUGCACUGGUAAGAAGUGACUGUAUAUCUACAUCCCUCUCCCACCUGCACAGAAAGUACCUUCCCCAAAUACCCAGGGAACUCACCGUAAAUACUGCAAUGGGAAACAGUAGCUAUUCUUGGAUUGGUUAGCCACCCUUUGGCCUUGAGUACAGCAUGCAGUUAGGUAAAUGUCCACCAAGAAUUCGGAUAUCAUACAGGCCAUGUUCUUUGUACGGUUAUUUCCCCUUUUAUCCUCAUAUGACCUGGCUUACGGUAGAAGAGAUGCCAAGGAGAAAGAUCUUAGCUGGAUAAACAUUGAUCUCAGUAGUAUUAACAAAUCAUCAGUGAGGUCUUCAUGUCCUCUCCUUAGCAGUGCUGCAGCUGUGUGUAUCAUUUCCCAGUAAAGUCCUGCCUUUUCUGUUGGCUACACUACUGUAUCUUAUCAUCAUAUUAAUUAGCCUUUAUUAUAUACGCUAUCUGUCUGCAGAUUAGAGAAAGGGAUGUUCCUUCCAGCACUCACUUCCUGGCAUUACUACGGAGGAGGACAACAGGAAACAGAAAGUCAUCUCCACUGCCGAAGUAAUACAAGAGCAGAUUACUUGAUGCUGCCACAACCUUUCAAAAAAGGAGCCUGAGCAGUCUGGUAGAUUGACCAUACUUAAAAGAUAUCGCACAUCACAAGCACAAGGAAGAAAGAAAUUAAAUGGUUUCACCAAGAUCCCAUCCUCCUUCAGUAAUGAAAAUUCACCUGCACCUGCAUUUCAUGCCUCAAGCACUAACCUAAAUCUGAAUGGGGCAGGGAAUCGUUGUACCAAGAUAAAACUGAAUUUAGAGCAAGGUCUGCUUAACAGCCAUAAAACAAUAAAAAUAAUUCCAUAAAGAUAAAUGUUCAAUUUAUUGUUUUACUGUUAUUGUGAUAACAGUAGAUGACGAGGCGGAAAAUACAAGAAGCUGUAAACCUUAUCCUCCCGCACACUCCUGUACAGGAUAUCUAAUAGGUACAUAGGGUUUUGCCCCAAGCUACCAAUAUCUGGCCAACAGAAACCAAAAAAAGAAUCUGCACAAGGACAUUCAUUAUCCAGAGAGAAGAGAAAAGUACUGGAUCAAUAAGGAAGAGAUGAGGUAGUUAAGAAAUUGGUCAGGAUAAAACCGGUUAGAGUCCUGCGUGGGUCCAUUUUUUGGAACCCAUACCCAAC